rnacentral:tRNA from 1 species
GUGCCGAUGGUGUAAUGGCAUUCCUUCCCGCCCCAUGAGCAGGAGGUGCGGGUUCGAAUCUCGCCUGGCACU